UUCGGUGUGGUGCAACGGCUAGCAUACCUCGCUUUCACUUCUUUACUUUGCGAUCCGAGGAGGUCGGGGUUCGAUUCCCCGCACCGAAG